rnacentral:lncRNA from 1 species
UGUGGCGGCAGCUCGACAUGAAUACCUGCAGAGGAGACUGGAGGCCAACCAGUACAAACUGAGAGCAGAGAAGCAGCUGGGUCUGCGUCCGUGUACAGCUGAAGGCAACAGGAGGCCUGGAGGUCGAGCUGAGCACGAGCACUCACCUCAGGACCGGAGGCAGGACGGACAACAGGACUACCUGCGUCAGCUGGACGUCAUCAGAGAACAGUACCACCAGGACAUGAGACAGAUGAGGCAGAGAGCUGAAGCAGAGGCGCAGCUGCAACAGAAACAUGGAACAUUUGUGGUGGAGAAACCCAGAGACACAGAAUCUGGUGCAGACGGUGAAGAGGAGCAGCACAAAGCUGCACCUGCACAGGACAUGGAAGCCGCCCUUAGGCAGGUGCGAGAGGAGAGGAGAGCACCGGAGAGGAAACACAAGGACAAGAAGGGAAUCAUGUUCGAGAUCCGGUUAGAAGACGGCGAGACGAAGGACGAGGAAGUGACGGAGAAAGACGAGGAAGAGAUGGACUCAGACCCUCUGAACCGGACUCUGAGCUUCCAGGAGGGGGAGGAGCUGAAGCUCAGGGAUUGGUCGGAGGAGAGGAGGGUGUGGAGUCAGAGGAGUCCUCAGACUCUGCUGGACGCUUUAGCCAACAUGGACGUCAUCUCGGCGAACGAUGACACCGUGAUCGAGACUGAACAAGGUGAAGAGGCGCCGGGUCGCAGGCAGUGGGGCGACGGGCCCCCCGUCACCCUGCUGAACGCUCUCGCUCAGGCCGAACUCACGUCGUCAACUCUGGACGCAGGUCAGACAUCACUCACGCCGACAUGUGACUCGCAGCAUCUUCACUUUAGUCACCCACUAUUUAACCUGCUGCUUUCUGAAUGA